UACGUAGGGUGCAAGCGUUAAUCGGAAUUACUGGGAGUAAAGCGUGCGCAGGCGGUUAUGUAAGACAGAUGUGAAAUCCCCGGGCUCAACCUGGGAACUGCAUUUGUGACUGCAUAGCUAGAGUACGGUAGAGGGGGAUGGAAUUCCGCGUGUAGCAGUGAAAUGCGUAGAUAUGCGGAGGAACACCGAUGGCGAAGGCAAUCCCCUGGACCUGUACUGACGCUCAUGCACGAAAGCGUGGGGAGCAAACAGG
rnacentral:rRNA from 1 species